GAUGAACGCUGGCGGCGUGCUUAACACAUGCAAGUCGAGCGAGCGAGUUCUUCGGAACAAUCUAGCGGCGGACGGGUGAGUAACACGUGGGCAACCUGCCUCAUAGAGGGGAAUAGCCUCCCGAAAGGGAGAUUAAUACCGCAUAAAAUUAUCGAGUGGCAUCACAUGAUAAUCAAAGGAGUAAUCCGCUAUGAGAUGGGCCCGCGGCGCAUUAGCUAGUUGGUGAGGUAACGGCUCACCAAGGCGACGAUGCGUAGCCGACCUGAGAGGGUGAUCGGCCACAUUGGGACUGAGACACGGCCCAGACUCCUACGGGAGGCAGCAGUGGGGAAUAUUGCACAAUGGGGGAAACCCUGAUGCAGCAACGCCGCGUGAGUGAUGAAGGUCUUCGGAUUGUAAAGCUCUGUCUUUGGGGACGAUAAUGACGGUACCCAAGGAGGAAGUCACGGCUAACUACGUGCCAGCCGCCGCCGUAA
rnacentral:rRNA from 1 species